GAGCAUUUCUCUUUGCUGUUCUCCUACAUUUCAAGCAUAUCUACCUCUAUGUAGCACCAGCUUAUGGUGUAUAUCUGCUGCGAUCCUACUGUUUCACUGCAAAUAAACCAGAUGGGUCUAUUCGAUGGAAGAGUUUCAGCUUUGUUCGUGUUAUUUCCCUGGGACUGGUUGUUUUCUUAGUUUCUGCUCUUUCAUUGGGUCCUUUCCUGGCCUUGAAUCAGCUGCCUCAAGUCUUUUCCCGACUCUUUCCUUUCAAGAGGGGCCUCUGUCAUGCAUAUUGGGCUCCAAACUUCUGGGCUUUGUACAAUGCUUUGGACAAAGUGCUGUCUGUCAUCGCCCUCUAUUUUCUGUCUUUGGUUUAAACCCCAAGGGCCCAGAGGCUUUCUCCGAUGUCUAACUCUUUGUGCCUUGAGCUCCUUUAUGUUUGGGUGGCAUGUUCAUGAAAAAGCCAUACUUCUAGCAAUUCUCCCAAU
rnacentral:lncRNA from 1 species